rnacentral:tRNA from 1 species
GGGUUCGUAGCUCAGUUGGUUAGAGCGCACGCCUGAUAAGCGUGAGGUCGGAGGUUCGAAUCCUCCCGAGCCCA